CCCGCCGCGAGCCGGUGCCGAGCCAGGUCUGCACUGGGCGCGGAGCGACAGAGCCCCGGCAGCCGCUCCUGGUGCUGGGAUGCCUCGCUAGCCAGCGCGAAGCAUUUCGGAGAGGGCAGCCUGCGCGGCUAUGAACGCACAACUCGCGCAGCGCCGGCUGUGGCAAUGUGCACAGCGCUCGCCCUGUGCUGGAUACAGGAAAAGGAGAGAUUAAUAGGAAAAGAAGCCUUAACUGUAAAGCUUCAAAGAGCAAACGCUGCGCAGGACUGGUGUAUCAGUGAGAAGAGCACUUCAGCUGUGAAACAGGUGGGAUACUUCCUUUUACCUGGCAAAGCAUUCAAGAACCCCACACGUAAGACGCAGACCUGCCCCCCGGCCAGUGCAGCAUCGUGUUCUUGGCACAGAAAACGCAGAGUACAGAUAAAUUGGUCUGACAGAUUUUCUAAGUGACUGUUUCUUUGCUAUCACGAUUGUCCAUCACAUCUGCUUUGUCUGGUGGCCUUCAGCGUUCUGCAUUUAGUAUUACUUUUUGCCCACACCAAGGAUCUGCUCUCCCCUUCCCUGGUGAACUACAUUUUAGUGCAAUAAGCUGCAAGACUUACUUCUAUUAAAAAAAUAAUUAAAUAAAUAAACUUGAUUCUAUUUGUAGUUCUGGGCU
rnacentral:lncRNA from 1 species